AGACAAUGGCGCAUCGUUUAAGAAAAUCUCCAGAGUGGUUUAUGUUCGAAAAUCUGAAGUUACGGUUAAAAAACUGAAAUUGUGAAAUUGACAAAAUGAGAUUAGGGGGGUAGGCCAAUUUAAGUUAAUUUUGGACCAAUUUCAAGAGAUUGUGACGGGCGACGACUAUAUAGGUGUUGUAGAGGAGACAAUUGCGCAUCGUUUAAGAAAAUCUCCAGAGUGGUUUAUGUUCGAAAAUCUGAAGUUACGGUUAAAAAACUGAAAUUGUGAAAUUGACAAAAUGAGAUAAGGGGGUAGGCCAAUUUAAAUUAAUUUUGGACCAAUUUUAAGAGAUUGUGACGGGCAACGACUAUAUAGGUGUUGUAGAGGAGACAAUGGCGCAUCGUUUAAGAAAAUCUCCAGAGUGGUUUUUGUUCGAAAAUCUGAAGUUACCAUUAAAAAACUGAAACUUUUAUUGUGAAAUUGACAAAAUGAGAUUAGGGGGGUAGGGCAAUUUAAGUUAAUUUUGGACCAAUUUCAAGAGAUUGUGACGGGCAACGACUAUAUAGGUGUUGUAGAGGAGACAAUGGCGCAUCGUUUAAGAAAAUCUCUAGAGUGGUUUAUGUUCGAAAAUCUGAAGUUACGGUUAAAAAACUGAAAAUUUUAUUGUGAAAUUGACAAAAUGAGAUUAAGGGGAUAGGGCACUAAAAGAAAAAUUUGGACCAUUUUAAAGAGAUUGUGACGGGCAACGACUAUAUAGGUGUUGUAGAGGAAACAAUGGCGCAUCGUUUAAGAAAAUCUCCAGAGUGGUUUAUGUUCGAAAAUCUGAAGUUACGGUUAAAAAACUGAAAUUGUGAAAUUGACAAAAUGAGAUAAGGGGGUAGGCCAAUUUAAAUUAAUUUUGGACCAAUUUUAAGAGAUUGUGACGGGCAACGACUAUAUAGGUGUUGUAGAGGAGACAAUGGCGCAUCGUUUAAGAAAAUCUCCAGAGUGGUUUAUGUUCGAAAAUCUGAAGUUACGGUUAAAAAACUGAAAUUGUGAAAUUGACAAAAUGAGAUUAGGGGGGUAGGCCAAUUUAAGUUAAUUUUGGACCAAUUUCAAGAGAUUGUGACGGGCAACGACUAUAUAGGUGUUGUAGAGGAGACAAUGGCGCAUCGUUUAAGAAAAUCUCCAGAGUGGUUUAUGUUCGAAAAUCUGAAGUUACGGUUAAAAAACUGAAAUUGUGAAAUUGACAAAAUGAGAUAAGGGGGUAGGCCAAUUUAAAUUAAUUUUGGACCAAUUUCAAGAGAUUGUGACGGGCAACGACUAUAUAGGUGUUGUAGAAGAGACAAUGGCGCAUCGUUUAAGAAAAUCUCCAGAGUGGUUUAUGUUUGAAAAUCUGAAGUUACGGUUAAAAAACUGAAACUUUUAUGGUGAAAUUGACAAAAUAAGAUUAGGGGAGUAGGGCAACUUAAGUUAAUUUUGGACCAAUUUUAAGAGAUUGUGACGGGCAACGACUAUAUAGGUGUUGUAGAAGAGACAAUGGCGCAUCGUUUAAGAAAAUCUCCAUAGUGGUUUAUGUUCGAUA